rnacentral:rRNA from 1 species
GAUGAACGCUAGCGGCAGGCCUAACACAUGCAAGUCGAGGGGUAACAUAGGAAAGCUUGCUUUUCUGAUGACGACCGGCGCACGGGUGCGUAACGCGUAUACAACCUACCUUUUAGCGGGGAAUAGCCCAGGGAAACUUGGAUUAAUGCCCCAUAGUAUAUAGACUUCUCCUGAAGUUUAUAUUUAAACAUUUAUGGCUAUUAGAUGGGUAUGCGUCCUAUUAGUUAGUUGGUAAGGUAACGGCUUACCAAGGCAGCGAUAGGUAGGGGUCCUGAGAGGGAGAUCCCCACACUGGUACUGAGACACGGACCAGACUCCUACGGGAGGCAGCAGUGAGGAAUAUUGGACAAUGGGCGAGAGCCUGAUCCAGCCAUGCCGCGUGCAGGAAGGCUGCCCUAUGGGUUGUAAACUGCUUUUACAGAGGAAGAACCACCCCCACGUGUGGGGGUUUGACGGUACUCUGCGAAUAAGGAUCGGCUAACUCCGUG